rnacentral:rRNA from 1 species
CAUCCUUCCAUGCAGUCGAACGGCAGCACGGGCUUCGGCCUGGUGGCGAGUGGCGAACGGGUGAGUAAUACAUCGGAACGUGCCCUGUCGUGGGGGAUAACUAGUCGAAAGAUUAGCUAAUACCGCAUACGACCUGAGGGUGAAAGCGGGGGACCGGUAACGGCCUCGCGCGACAGGAGCGGCCGAUGUCUGAUUAGCUAGUUGGUGGGGUAAGAGCCUACCAAGGCGACUAUCAGUAUCUGGUCUGAGAGGACGAUCAGCCACACUGGGACUGAGACACGGCCCACACUCCUACGGGAGGCAGCAGUGGGGAAUUUUGGACAAUGGGGGCAACCCUGAUCCAGCAAUGCCGCGUGUGUGAAGAAGGCCUUCGGGUUGUAAAGCACUUUUGUCCGGAAAGAAAACGCGCUGGUUAAUACCUGGCGUGUAUGACGGUACCAAAGAAUAAACACGUCUAACUACGUGCCAACAGCCGCGGUAAUACAUAGGGGUGCGAGCGUUAAUCGAAAUUACUGGGGCAUAAAGCGUGCGCACGCGGUUUUGAUAAGACAGGCGUUAAAAUCCCCCGAUCUCCACUUUGAAAAUGGCGCUUGGGUACUGUCCACGCUAGAAUAUUUCAAAAAGGGGGGUUAGAAUUCCACGUGUACCCAUAAAAUGCCUAGAAAUGUGGGAGGAAUUACCGUGGGCGGAGGCCGCCCCUUGGCAUGUCUCUUGGCCGCUUAUGGCACAAAAACUGUGGGGGAGCAAAAAGAUUUUAAUACCCUGGUUAUCCCCCCCCCUAAACUAUUUCCAAUAAUUUUUUGGUAUUU